GAUGAACGCUAGCUACAGGCUUAACACAUGCAAGUCGCGGGGCAGCAUGGGGGUUGCUUGCAACCCCUGAUGGCGACCGGCGCACGGGUGAGUAACGCGUAUCCAACCUGCCCUUCACCACGGGAUAACCCGGCGAAAGUCGGACUAAUACCGUAUGUUGUCCAUUGACGGCAUCCGAUUUGGACGAAGGGCUUGGCGGUGAAAGGAUGGGGAUGCAUCCGAUUAGCUUGACGGCGGGGUAACGGCCCACCGUGGCUACGAUCGGUAGGGGUUCUGAGAGGAAGGUCCCCCACACUGGAACUGAGACACGGUCCAGACUCCUACGGGAGGCAGCAGUGAGGAAUAUUGGUCAAUGGGCGUAAGCCUGAACCAGCCAAGUAGCGUGCAGGAUGACGGCCCUAUGGGUUGUAAACUGCUUUUAUGCGGGGAUAAAGUGGCCCACGUGUGGGCUUUUGCAGGUACCGCAUGAAUAAGGACCGGCUAAUUCCGUG
rnacentral:rRNA from 1 species